GUGAGGAAUAUUGGUCAAUGGGCGGGAGCCUGAACCAGCCAAGUCGCGUGAAGGAAGAAGGAUCUAUGGUUCGUAAACUUCUUUUGCAGGGGAAUAAAGUGCAGGACGUGUCCUGUUUUGUAUGUACCCUGAGAAUAAGGAUCGGCUAACUCCGUGCCAGCAGCCGCGGUAAUACGGAGGAUCCGAGCGUUAUCCGUAUUUAUUGGGUUUAAGGGGUGCGUAGGUGGUUUGAUAAGUCAGCGGUGAAAGUUUGCAGCUUAACUGUAAAAAUGCCGUUGAAACUGUCGGACUGGAGUGUAGAUGAGGUAGGCGGAAUGCGUGGUGUAGCGGUGAAAUGCAUAGAUAUCACGCAGAACUCCGAUUGCGAAGGCAGCUUACUAAGCUACAACUGACACUGAAGCACGAAAGCGUGGGGAUCAAACAGGAUUAGAAACCCCGGUAGUCC
rnacentral:rRNA from 1 species